AGAGAGAGACAUGCGCGCAUAUCAAUAAGCGGAGGAAAAGAAAACUAACAAGGAUUCCCCUAGUAACGGCGAGUGAAGCGGGGAGAGCUCAAAUUUGAAAUCUUAAAGGGUUUCCCUUUACGAAUUGUAGUUUAAAGAAGUGUUUUUCUGUUGAGGUUUUGGUAAAAGUUCUUUGGAAUAGGACAUCAUAGAGGGUGAGAAUCCCGUAUUUGACCUUUACUUUCAACUUUGUGAUACACUUUCAAAGAGUCGGAUUGUUUGGGAAUGCAGUCCAAAAUGGGUGGUAAAUUUCAUCUAAAGCUAAAUAUUGGCGAGAGACCGAUAGCGAACAAGUACCGUGAGGGAAAGAUGAAAAGAACUUUGAAAAGAGAGUUAAACAGUACGUGAAAUUGUCAAAAGGGAAGCGUUUGACACCAGUGUUGUUUUUUCUGAAAAUCAAUUAAAGAACUGUUUAUGCUAAGUUGUUUAGACUUUAUCAGCUAACUGUUUAGUUUUGAGCUUUUCUUUAAUGCACUUUUCAGUUAACAAGUCAACAUCAAUUUCUUUUGCUGUAAAAAAGCUUGAGGAAGGUGGCUUGAGAUUCGUCUUAAGUGUUUAUAGCCUCUUGCCUAUGCAGUCGGAGAGAUUGAGGUCUGCAGCGUAGAUCCUUCGGGGCUAAAUGCAUUUGUGCUAAGAUAUAGCAUUUUAUAGACAACUUGUUGACUAUGAUUUGUCUUGUAGCUUACUCGCUUAUGUUAUUUUACCUACGCUUAGGAUGUUGAAGACUCUACAGAGAUA
rnacentral:rRNA from 1 species